UUUCAAAAUACUGUCCGUAAAGCAGCGCAACAUUCACCUCCCUAGAGAGUGUAGACAAAUUAAGUUGAGGACCCACCCUCUGUGCAGCUUGGGUUGGCAUGCAUAGACACGUGACCAACCACACCCAAGGUGCUUUCUCGAAGUAGAGAAAAAAACCCUGGGAACGAGGUUGCAGGCAGGGUUAUGCGUAAAUCAUAGCCGAGGAGUGCUUAGGAAUGGUCAAAAUAUGGAUAACGACGCUUUCAUUUCAUUAAAGUUCCUUUUCAAAGAAAUGGGGAUUUUAGAUGACAAAAUUACCAGUGUUUCUGUUUACUCUUGUAAUCUUUAAACUCCCUUCAUUCUUCUAUAGAGCUCACCCUUAGCCCAAUGCCAGCCAACGAAGCUUCAGCUGCACAAAACGAGUUCAAUUCCAAUGGAAUAAAGCCUCGUUUGAUAAAUGGUUCUGACAGGACUUAGUGUACAUUCCUGUUUAGACUGUCAGUAGUUCUUGGUGGUCACCCUGAUGGCACAUGUCAGUAGAGGCUCCGUUUGCUUGGCAUCAGUCAUUAUUGUAAUCAUCAUGGCAGUUGACAAUAUGCAAGAGAGCAAAAAACGAAGACAAAGCCCUUCUAAACUACAGCAAGAAAGUGCAAGAUGCCACAAGUAUUUUGAGAAACAAAGCCUGUACCUGUAGUUGGUACUUCAUUUAGCGAAAUAUGCAUACUUUCAAGAGGGAAAAUGUAAGUACAGUGUUUGGUCCUGAACACCGAGGCGAACGAACAUAGGUGUAAUGUUGUGAAACGACAGAAAGGGAAAGGCCAUCAGCUUCCUAAUGUAGC